AAAUAAGAAGCAAAUAAUUGCAUUUAGUUUCGACCUAAAAGUUUGAUAGUUUAUCCUUAUUUA
rnacentral:tRNA from 1 species